rnacentral:rRNA from 1 species
GCAGUCUGCAACUCGAGUGCAUGAAGCUGGAAUCGCUAGUAAUCGCGGAUCAGAAUGCCGCGGUGAAUACGUUCCCGGGUCUUGUACACACCGCCCGUCACACCAUGGGAGUCGGGAAUGCCCGAAGCCGGUGGCCCAAUCGAAAGAAGGGAGCCGUCGAAGGCAGGCCGGAUGACUGGGGUGAAGUCGUAACAAGGUACC